rnacentral:lncRNA from 1 species
GGUAGCUUCACAAUGCCACAUUAUCUGCCUAUAAAAUCUGAUAAUAUAGCUUCCAGGUGCCUGGGGCAGUGAGGCUCAGGCCAGGAAAGAGAAAUCUGCUGCUUUAAGAACAUUUGCAUCAUUGGAUUAACCUCCAUGUGGAUGUUUCUUCUGAAGGUCUACAAUGGAAAAGAACACUUGUGGCAAAAAGAAAUUUAAAGAAGUACACUUCAAAGAGAAGAAUAACACCAUGAACUUUAAGGUUGCAGCUAAGGCUUGUGGUGAAAGAGCUAAGGAGAGAAAGGAGAAGCCUGAUCUUCUGGAAUGAAUGAAAUGAACCAAGGGGAGCCCUAAGGGUGAGACCUCACCCAGGUAAGCCUGUAAAAGACCUAAGGAUUGUCUGCUCCUCAAAAGCAAAAACAAAUGGCAACCGCUGUGACUGUGAUUCAUGGGUCAGGCUCCAUCCAAGCAGGCACCUCAACUUGGUAGGUCAUCUGUGUGGUUCUGGUUUUAGAGUCAUGAAGGUCUGUGAAGUCCUUCUUUAUGAUCAAGGAGAGCCUCUAAGGCCAGACAUGUGGCAGGGGACUCUCUGCAUGGAGGUCCUGAAAGACCAUUGUGUGAAGCUAUAAAAGUGAAACCUGGAAUGCAUUGGAGACCUCAUUUUAGAGGUGCCAGAGUUGUGGGAUAUCUGUGAAGGGAACACAGAGAACGGAAUCAGCCUGGAAGAGAGACGUAGCUUGUGUGUAGCAAAGCUGGAAGGGCAGAGCCAUCUAGGUCCUUUGAUAAUACGGAUUUGGAGUUUGUCUUGGCUUUUGUCCAGUAUAUCUUUGCUACGCCCCAAUUCCUUCCUUUUAAAAUGAUGAUGUGUAUUCUGUGCCAUCAUAUGUUGGAAGAAUGUAAUUUGAUUUCACAGGGUGUGAUGGCUAUUCUUGGUUGUCAACUUGACUACAUCUGGAAUGAACUACAAUUGAGAAAUGAAGGGCACAUCUGUGGGAGAUUUUUUUUUUUUUUGACUUGGUUUGAAGUGGGUGGCUCCACUUCUAGUCCUGACUUUUUGAAGUAGGACUACACAUACUUUUUUUAUUUUCUUCUCUUUUUCUUUCUUUUUUUUUCUUUUCUUUUUAUUUUAUUUUAUUAGUUCAAAUUAGGAACAAGCUUGCUUCAGACGUCAAUCCCUUCUCCCUUUCCCUCUCCCUCCCCUCCCCCAACAUCCCACCUGCCCCUAGCCAUCCCCCCUCCACUCCCCAGGCAGGGUAAGGCCCUCAAAAGGGGCUCCCCAAAGUCUACCGCAUCAUCCUGGGCCAGGCCUAGGCCCUUCCCCAUGGACUACACACACUUUUGAUCUGGAUCUCGAGGCAGGAAGACACACCUUUAAUCUGGGCCACACCUUCUGUGGGAAGCCUUUAUAAGGACUUGGAAGAAGGACGCUUUUGCUCUUUUCCUGCUUGCCCUUGCCUUGUGAGCAAGUCUAUUUCUUCACUGGUAUUAGAGCCUAUUUCUUUUGGAUUUUAGCUUUUACUGAAGACCAGCUUUGUAGACUGAGCAACUACUGGAUUCUUGGAUUUUUAGUUCACACUUAGCCAUUGUUGGAUUAGCUGGACUGCAGCCUUAGACUGGCUUCAAAACCACUCACUGUUCUUCAGAGUGGAUUCUGAAGGUCCUGACAUCUAAGACUGAAAAUGGUUUUACAAACAAGGAAAGGAAGAUGCAGAACACUCUUCUCACUUCCUGAAGUCCUGAUGACAAAGUGUUUUCAAAUACCACUGUGUAUUCGACUUGCAGCAGAAAAUAACUGUGGGGCAGUUUGUUCACUGCAGAACAAAGGAAGGGCUGCACAACUGGGUUUCCAGAUAAAAGUCCAGUUCAUCUCAAAGCACUUCUUACAGACUGAAGAAAGCCCCUAAGAACUCACUGACUUUAGCUCCUGAACACAUCCUCUUUCCCUGUUCUGAACUGUGUUAACCAACACUGUGCAUUCAGCCCUCGAGGAAGGCCAGGAGUUCUGGGCCUGGAGACCUCCUGCCUGCCACCUGAUGUCUGGCCACCAUACUCUGGUCAACAGCCAGGCAAUUUGCUUGUAUUUCAGGAAAACAAAGAGAAGUCUGGGUGAGCUGAUGAAGAAAACACAGCCUUAGCAGCAACCGGCAGUCAGCCAACACGGAGUCACGUUCUCUGGAGAACUGAAGCCAUUUUUAUCCUCCUCCAUAGGCCUAGGGAUUUGAAAGUGGCAUCGUUCCUGGAAGAGUAGAGCAGGUUUACAGCAUCAUCUUCUGUCUUCUGUGACAGUGCCAUGUAACAUUGUUUAAAGUGGCUAACAGUCACUGCCUUCACCUUUAUGUGACAGAUUUAUCUGCAUCGACCAGACUUUCAACUGUGAAUUAUUUCUCAUUGUGUCUAAAAUGAUCAGACUAGUUAUUUUUCUGUGCUUGACCUAUGUGGGGAGUUAGGUGGCCAUUCCUUUGCUCCUUUGGUUUCACUUUUUUUUUUUAAUUCCCAGCCAUUUGCAGUCCUCCAAAUUGGGUUUGAUAAGCAUAAUUCAAAUUCCCCACAUCUAUUCUCUAAUACAUUUCUUCUGCAGUCAAGUCCCACUUGGCCAUAGUAAGCUUCUCUUGUUCACCCAGUCUGUCAUUCAAUUGGAUACCAAAGAGAUGCAUAGAUCAUUGGCACUGUCAAAGAUGGAAGAAUGGGGCUACAGCCUGAGGCUCAGAAGCCCACUCAAUAGGCAGAGUAAGACAGCUUUUAAAGAAAGAGGGAAAUAGAAAAGAAAAGAAAAACCUAAAUAAACUAAAAUAAAGGAAGGCUUUUUUUUUGUAUAGCGUGAAAACAAGUCUCAUGGCUGUCCAAGGAUGGGGCUAUUGGGAGAGGGGACUCUUUUUCAAGAGCAUGCCAUUUUUUUUUUUUUUUUGUAUUCAUGCUGUUUCUAGAGUUCCAUCAUUUUUACUUGAGACUUGCUUUUUAAUAAAGAAAAUUCUCUGUGGGAAUUUGCCAAGAUCUGGUUUGAAGCUAGAGCAAUGAUCAGGAACACUCUAGGAAUUCUUUGGGAUCAAAUUCAGGGCCCUGAAUAUACUAUUCGAAUUCUCUAUGCCAGUCACACGCAGAGCAUAUGUGCUCUAUCCAGUGCUGGUCAUCCUAUAAACUUUACAGGGAGCAUUUGGGCUACAGGCCCUGUGAGGACUGUCCCUGUGAAGACUGUCCCUGUGAGGACUGUCCCUGUGAGGGUCUACAGAGAGAGAGGAGUCUUUCUCUGGAACCAAGGCCAGUUCCCUGAGUCUCAACAUUGUGUGGCUGGGGUCCUCAUUUGCAUUUCCUGUCUUAAGUGGGCCCUGUAGCUCUGUGAAGCCCUCUACACAGGAGCUUACUGCCUACUGGAGUGGCAGAAACUUUAGGGUGAGAGCUACCUCUACCUCUUUCAGCCAGGGUCCAUGCUCUGUUCAUACUUUGGGGACAUAUAGAAAUUAAUUUUAUAGUUGUUUUUUGAGGCAUUUGUGAGUUAAGGAGCACCAUUUAAAUAGACAUUUUAGUUGUCUGGGUCAGGGGGUUGCUCAGAAUGUGUUUACUUGAAUGGAGUUGUGCAAGGCAAAUCCUGAGUGUUUGUGAGAAAACUCCAAGAAAACAAGACAAGCCUUGUGACCCCAGUUUCUACAAAGCAGCGGAAUUGUUCUUGGAAUGCGCUGUCAUGUUCUUCCCAGCUGUAGGGGUUGGGAGUAGUUUACUUCAGAUUAUUCAUUACAACUGGCUAUUGUUAUUUGUUUAUGUGCCUCUAUGGACAAACAUGCUUUUGCCACCUUUGGCUUGCUUUUGUGAUUGUAUACUUUACUUAUAUGCUUCUUCUUAACACUCAGCGCAUAAAUUGUCUGAUGCUCUGAAUAAAGUUGGCUAUUGCAUGAAACUUUAGUCUCUCUUGUUUAUCAGCUCCAUUCUCCCAGGUCCCAUCGACAGUUAAAGUCCUAACAGUGAGUCUCACCAUGUUUCUGCUUUGUGAAUGACACUGUGCUCCUUUCUCAAUUCUGGCAGCUUAACUGUGUUCAGAGUUUAUACCUUUUGGGAUUCUAGCUUCCUGAGGCUUUCCCUGACUAAGGACUCUUGGAGUCUACCUCAGUCUCCACCCUUCUGCUGUUUGCACUUGCCAUUUAAUUGUUAGUAGAGAAAGGAUAUAACAUUCAAUUUAGGCUGUGUGGAUUCAUAGGUCUCUGCUUUUUCAAUAGGGUCUGCCCUGGG